rnacentral:rRNA from 1 species
GUCUACGGCCAUGCCACCCUGAACGUGCCCUAUCUUGUCUGAUCUCGGAAGCUAAGCAGGAUCGGGCCUGGUUAGUACUUGAAUGGGAGACCAUCUAGGAAUACCAGGUGCUGUAGGCA